GAUGAAGAACGUAGCGAAAUGCGAUAAGUAAUGUGAAUUGCAGAAUUCAGUGAAUCAUCGAAUCUUUGAACGCACAUUGCGCCCGCCAGUAUUCUGGCGGGCAUGCCUGUUCGAGCGUCAUUUCAACCCUCAAGCCCAGCUUGGUGUUGGGGAUCGGCACAGGCGCCCUCGGGCGCCCGCCGUCCCCUAAAUCUAUUGGCGGUCCCGCUGCAGCCUCCUCUGCGUAGUAGUUUUCUCCUCGCAAGGGCAGCUCGGUGGCGACCUCGCCGUAAAACCCCCAACUUCUGAAAGGUUGACCUCGAAUCAGGUAGGAAUACCCGCUGAACUUAAGCAUAUCAAUAAGCGGAGA
rnacentral:misc_RNA from 1 species